GGAGUGGUGCCCGAGUGGCUGAAGGGGCCCGCCUGGAAAGCUGGUAAACGUCUAAAGCGUUUCGCGAGUUCGAAUCUCGCCCACUCCG
rnacentral:tRNA from 1 species